UAGGGAAUCUUCCACAGUGGACGAAAGUCUGAUGGAGCAACGCCGCGUGAGUGAAGAAGGUUUUCGGAUCGUAAAACUCUGUUGUUGGAGAAGAACGUAUUUGAUAGUAACUGAUCAGGUAGUGGCGGUAUCCAACCAGAAAGCCACGGCUAACUACGUACCAG
rnacentral:rRNA from 1 species